AGAGUUUGAUCGUGGCUCAGGAUGAACGCUGGCGGCGUGCCUAACACAUGCAAGUCGAACGAAGCACUUUUACUCGAUUCUUCGGAUGAUGGUAAUAGUGACUGAGUGGCGGACGGGUGAGUAACGCGUGGGUAACCUGCCUCAUACAGGGGGAUAACAGUUAGAAAUGACUGCUAAUACCGCAUAAGACCACGGAGUCGCAUGACUCAGUGGGAAAAACUCCGGUGGUAUGAGAUGGACCCGCGUCUGAUUAGGUAGUUGGUGGGGUAACGGCCUACCAAGCCGACGAUCAGUAGCCGACCUGAGAGGGUGACCGGCCACAUUGGGACUGAGACACGGCCCAAACUCCUACGGGAGGCAGCAGUGGGGAAUAUUGCACAAUGGGGGAAACCCUGAUGCAGCGACGCCGCGU
rnacentral:rRNA from 1 species